GGAGAGGUCGCAUAGAGGCCUAGUGCGCGCGCUUGGAAAGCGCGUAGCGCCUCAUCGGCGCUCGAGGGUUCGAAUCCCUCCCUCUCCG
rnacentral:tRNA from 1 species